AUACCUUUCUCGGCCUUUUGGCUAAGAUCAAGUGUAGUAUCUGUUCUUAUCAGUUUAAUAUCUGAUACGUGGGUCAUCGACCCACAUGAUAUUAAAUUAAUUUUUCUACGGGGAGUUGCCCACAACGGUAGCUUGCUACCGGGGUCCUCGACCGUCGCCAAUGCGUUGCACUACUGCAUGGGCCUGGCGAACCUCAC